rnacentral:rRNA from 1 species
GAUGAACGCUGGCGGCGUGCCUAAUACAUGCAAGUCGAGCGAAUGGAUUAAGAGCUUGCUCUUAUGAAGUUAGCGGCGGACGGGUGAGUAACACGUGGGUAACCUGCCCAUAAGACUGGGAUAACUCCGGGAAACCGGGGCUAAUACCGGAUAACAUUUUGAACCGCAUGGUUCGAAAUUGAAAGGCGGCUUCGGCUGUCACUUAUGGAUGGACCCGCGUCGCAUUAGCUAGUUGGUGAGGUAACGGCUCACCAAGGCAACGAUGCGUAGCCGACGUGAGAGGGUGAUCGGCCACACUGGGACUGAGACACGGCCCAGACUCCUACGGGAGGUAGCAGUAGGGAAUCUUCCGCAAUGGACGAAAGUCUGACGGAGCAACGCCGCGUGAGUGAUGAAGGCUUUCGGGUCGUAAAACUCUGUUGUUAGGGAAAAACAAGUGCUAGUUGAAUAAGCUGGCACCUUGACGGUACCUAACCAGAAAGCCACGGCUAACUACGUGCCAGCCGCCGCAGUAA